GGUUGCAUAGUGUAGUAGUCAUCACGUCUGCUUUACACGCAAAAGGUCCUGGGUUCAAUCCCCAGUGCAACUA